rnacentral:rRNA from 1 species
CCUACGGGGGGCAGCAGUGGGGAAUCUUGCGCAAUGGGCGAAAGCCUGACGCAGCAACGCCGCGUGCGGGAUGACGGCCUUCGUGGUUGUAAACCGCUUUCAGCAGGGACGAAAAUGACGGUACCUGCAGAAGAAGCCCCGGCUAACUACGUGCCAGCAGCCGCGGUAAUACGUAGGGGGCAAGCGUUGUCCGGAAUCAUUGGGCGUAAAGAGCUCGUAGGCGGUUCAGUAAGUCGGGUGUGAAAGCUCCGAGCUCAACUCGGAGAGGCCACUCGAUACUGCUGUGACUAGAAUCCAGUAGGGGAGUGUGGAACUCCUGGUGUAGCGGUGAAAUGCGCAGAUAUCAGGAAGAACACCAGCGGCGAAGGCGGCACUCUGGGCUGGUAUUGACGCUGAGGAGCGAAAGUGUGGGUAGCAAACAGGCUUAGAUACCCUGGUAGUC